UUACGGUCAUAUCAUUUUGAAACACCGACUCUCGUUUGGUCACCGAAUUUAAGCAAUGUUGAGCCGGUCAGUAUCUAGAUGGGUGACUGCUUGAGAAUACUAAGUGCUGUAAG